rnacentral:lncRNA from 1 species
AGUUAUCUUGAGCCUAACACGUCGAUUAUAUCAUGUUGAAGAUGAGCGGGUGGCAGCGACAGAGCCAGAAUAACAGCCGGAACCUGAGGAGAGAGGCGAGUACUGGCUCCGUCUAACCCUUACCUUCCCAUCCUGGCCAGCAUAGCUAUUUUAUAAAGUUGGAGACAACUGUUCUGGAGGAUGUAGCCCCACCCCUUCCACUGUAAGCUUGUAGACUGGGAAGGGUGAAGGCCGGGAAUCCCUGAUUCAGGAAUGGUGCUUACAGGCCCUCUCUUGCAUUGGGCGAUUGCAUUCCCGUUCCCUUGUCUCGAGUUGGUCCCCACUCUGCAGAGGGACUCCGGUUGCCUUCGGGAACUUGUCUCUGUAGUGCGAACUGCGGGCCAGCUUAGGCCUGGGCAGUUCGCAGGAAAGGCGGGGCAGCAGGACACACCCCCAAAGUCGGGGACUCUGGCUGUCUCAGCCUUUUCUUCACCAGCCUCAUUCCCCCCAACUCUUUCAAGCUGAAGCGCCUCAGUCAAGGGGCCAACAUGGCCACGUUAGUAGCUGACUCUCAAGUUCAAGAGAACGCGAAGACUGACAGAUCUUUGCGAGUGGGGGUGCUGGUGGGAGGAGCAUAGAUGGGUUUUUCCCUUUUCCCCAGAGGUUUCUAGGUUUCCAUACAAGAGAGCAGCCUGGAUCUCUUUAACUAUGGGAAAUUAUUUGGGAUCUCUCCAGGGUCUUCUGCUUCUCCCAGGGCUGAUUGAUCUCUGCUUCUUUCCUCAGUCCCGUCUCCUAACUAAACUGUGUAACCAUUGCGUCAGGCCAGCCCACUGUUUGUCUCUGCACCCUCAGGCCUGGGGCUCCUCUGCUGAUGAAAGCCAGGUCCCACACACUGGAAGACCAAGGGAGUUUUCCCUAGAGGACAACCCUGCAGAGAAACACUCAGGGCAAUAUUGCAUCUGCAGUCCCCAGAGACAGCCAGCUCCGCUCUGCCUUUAGGCUCAGUGGGCUUAAUUCUCUAUAAGGGAACUUGGGGGAGGGGCUUUUUCCCCAUUCAUUCCUAACAAAUGCCUAAUAAGCACCCACUAUGUACCAAGUAUCUGGGGACCCAGGGUAUAUUAGGAGCAAAAGAUAAAACUGUUCUCAAUAAAACUUACAUUUCAGUAUAAAGCAAAAGGGAAAAAAAAAACAAAAGCAGGGCAGAAUAGUUCAGGGCGGUGACUAGAGGUUGUCAUCAGAAGCCAAGCCUGUGAGCCAAGCCCCGGUGUUAGAGCUUUAUAGAAGGGAGAGGCUGAGCAACAGAGUUAAGAUAAGCAUGCCAUGCCGGUAUCUUUAGGAACAGGACUAGAGUAAGCAGGAGAGGGUGAUGAAAGGAAACUCAAGCAGCCGGUCUCAUAGAGCCUUGCAAGCACCCUCAUGAUGCUAAUCUUUAACAAUCAUGAAACAGGAAGCCAUUGGGGGAUCUGAGCAGAGGAAUGAUCAUAGCACAUGCAUUUAAUUCCAGCACUCAGAGAGGCAGAUCUCUGAGCUCCAGGCCAGCCAGGGCUACAUUAUGAGACCCUGACUCAAAAUAAAUACAAAAACAAAGGGUUAGGUAUGUAGCUCAAUAGUACACUGCUUGCCUGGUAUGUAGAGGACCCUAGGUCAACCCACAGCCGUGAAAAUAAAGU